rnacentral:tRNA from 1 species
GGGUCCGUGGCGCAACGGCAGCGCAUCCGGCUCUUACCCGGCAUGUUGAGGGUUCGACUCCCUCCGGACCCA